rnacentral:rRNA from 1 species
UGGGUGGCGAGUGGCGGACGGGUGAGGAAUACAUCGGAAUCUACUUUUUCGUGGGGGAUAACGUAGGGAAACUUACGCUAAUACCGCAUACGACCUACGGGUGAAAGCAGGGGAUCUUCGGACCUUGCGCGAUUGAAUGAGCCGAUGUCGGAUUAGCUAGUUGGCGGGGUAAAGGCCCACCAAGGCGACGAUCCGUAGCUGGUCUGAGAGGAUGAUCAGCCACACUGGAACUGAGACACGGUCCAGACUCCUACGGGAGGCAGCAGUGGGGAAUAUUGGACAAUGGGCGCAAGCCUGAUCCAGCCAUACCGCGUGGGUGAAGAAGGCCUUCGGGUUGUAAAGCCCUUUUGUUGGGAAAGAAAUCCAGCCGGUUAAUACCUGGUUGGGAUGACGGUACCCAAAGAAUAAGCACCGGCUAACUUCGUGCCAGCAGCCGUGGUAAUACGAAGGGUGCAAGCGUUACUCGGAAUUACUGGGCGUAAAGCGUGCGUAGGUGGUUGUUUAAGUCUGUUGUGAAAGCCCUGGGCUCAACCUGGGAACUGCAGUGGAAACUGGAUAACUAGAGUGUGGUAGAGGGUAGCGGAAUUCCCGGU